ensembl:snRNA U2 U2 spliceosomal RNA
AUCGCUUCUCGGCCUUUUGGCUAAGAUCAAGGGUAGUAUCUAGUACUGGGGAUUGAAUGCAGGGCCUUCCCACUAAGCUACAUCCCAAACUUUUUUAUUUAUUUUGAGACAGGGUCUUGCUAAGUUGCUGGGGCUGGGCCCAAACUUGUGACCCUCCUGUCUCGGCCCUCCCAGAGUGCUGGGAUCACAGGCAUGACCACC